CUGCCGCAGGAGACUGUGGAGUGAAUAAUAAAUGCUUAUUUCUAAUGUCCUCUUCCUCCUUGAAUCUAACAUCUGCCACUGAAUGAAUCAGGGAAGUCAAGCACCAUUGCCUUCCUCUUAAUCCUUUCAUGCAUCUAUAGCUCACACACUUUAUUUCAGUCAGCAGCUGAAUUCAUUAGAUAUUCUUCUAGAGACUUUUUGAUCAUAGAAUUUCAUUCCUGCAGCGGAAGCUUCCUUUAUGAAUAAUAAUAAUAAUGACAAAAGCAUUAUUGGCAUCAACCCAACAAGCCAAAAGACUUAAGAAAUGAAAACACUAAUUGAUGAUCUAUCAUGAGUCUUUUGGGCACUAAGUGUGAAGAUGAGUUCAUGAAACAUGUCUAGUACUAACAAGGAUAUUCCAUCAUAGUGUUUAGAAAUGGAACCAAGACUUCACCAACAUGAUCAAAACAUAAUUCAGUGAGUGUGUUUGGAGGGGUUCAGGUUCACUUUAAAAUCAAAUCAGUUCUGAUCCAAUUCUUAAUCAAUACAUAAUCCUGAGAGAUCAGGAGGGCAGGUCUUAUGAGUUAGCACAAACAGCCUUUUUGAACAACAUGGGGGAAAAAAGGAUUUGGUCUCCUAUUGAGCAUUGCAGAAAUGCAAAUAUCACAUAAAGGCACUGCCUGGAAUGGAAAGCACAGACAAGCUAACAAGUUGCCCUCAGAAACUUGGAGAUAAGUACUUUUUCCAAGCUAGGUCAGUGCUUUCCUCUUUGAAAUGUCAGCAAACUGUUUUUCGUGCCUUCCCUCACACACCUUACUUACUGCAAAGUCCCCUCACCUCAAAAGAAACAAGAUACUUCUUCCAAACUUGUGAUUUCUCAGGCACACAAUCAAGUACACUCCACUAGGCAGCAAGACUUCUUGCUGUGGGGAGGACUCUUUCUUUUAAGUCAGCCUGGUAUAGAUGAGUUGGCAGGGAAGAUCAGACUUACCUUCCACAGAUCACAGAGCUCCAGUGCCUCACUUGGAGUAGCAGGACACAGGCUACAGACUGUACAAUGUCUGUAAAAACCUUUUGUAUUUUUUGCACAACAGCAGAUACUGUUCAUGCUUCCCCCCUGGUUAGGUUGUCUGAAGAAGGCACCUGCUUCCUCUUAUCAGGCAGGCUGUAACAAGCCUCUACCACAGUGGGCCGCGCUGCUCAUCUGUUUUCUCAUGACACCAUGUGGGUCUUUGAAACUCUUUCCCAAAUCAUGAUUUUAAAAAGUUCUGAACCAUUGUAGUACACCCACCCCUACCCCUUCCUUUGAUCACCUCCUUACAAGUUACGGGCUUUGCUUUCCAGAGAGUAGUCUUCCUUCUGUAUGAACUGUUUUGAUGAUGUUUUCAUGUGAAAGUUUGGGAAAGCAGAGUGGAUCAGUGGGUACUGAGUAUCUAGCAUUAGGCCAGGGCAGAGGAACAGAGAGGAUGAGCACACAAGGGGCUAGGGUCUGUGUGCUUUGUGCAAGCACAGGCAGUGUUACUUGGAGAGACCAGAGAUCUAGUUAUAAAGAUCUUCCGCACAAGGACUGUAGGCCUUGAGAUCUUGAUGGUCUAUCUGGAAGUAGAAAAGGUCUAGUCACUCUCUGGCUAAAGCAUUUGUGCUAAAGGCCUAAGCACCCAUAGGAUGGCCUUGACUCGGCAGACAGGAAGGGGCUGGAACAGCAGCUCUUGGCUCAGUGCAGGGAGGGAAGUUUUCAUGGUGGUGGCCUUCUGCAAGGCCCUGAUCAGGCAUCUUUGCUCCCUGCCUCCCCUGCUCUUACUGAUUUAUCUGAAACUUGACAACUGCUUACAGAGCAACUUUCUGCCCUGCCUCCUCCCCUUCCCCUUGUCUCUCAUUGUUUCCUAGCAAACCAACCAACAAGCAAACCCACAUAACAAAAACUUAAAAGGGUAGAGGGAGUCAGAGGACUUGCAAUUUGAGCAGCAGGGCCUGCCCACAAGGGACUGUGGGUUGUCUGUCACUGGGCGGUUGGUGGGUGAAGCAGGAAGGCAUUAGAGAAUUCAGGAAAAUCUGAAGAUACCUCAGAUCGUUUUGGAGAAGAGAGAGAUGCCAAUUCUGCAAACACCUAUGAUCUGCCCUUUACACAACAGCAAAGCUGGUUCAAGCAGUGUCUGAUGGGAUUUCAGAAGUUCCAACAAACUCAGGACAGCACGGUAAAAGCAUCCAUUACUGAUUUCAUGAGUAACAAGAAUGUUCUAGUGAACUAGCUUACAAGGUUUCCGUGUGUUUGUUCAAAGUAUGGCCAUACAAAGCUUUGGACCGUCUAAGCUGGGACUAAGAGAGACAGGAAGGAGAAAGAAAGGGCAGAUGGAAAUAAGUGGAGCAGAAAUGCAUUGAGAGAUUAAUGAUAAGAAACCAAGCAGGCACUUUAGGAGUUCGUUUGAAAAUUCAUCCAAAGACUUGCAGCUUUUCAUGGAAAACAAUGGCCCUAUUUUCAUU